AUGCAGUCGAGCGGUUGAGGGAGCUUGCUCCCUGAUUCAGCGGCGGACGGGUGAGUAAUGCCUAUGAAUCUGCCUAUUAGUGGGGGACAACGUUUCGAAAGGAACGCUAAUACCGCAUACGUCCUACGGGAGAAAGCAGGGGACCUUCGGGCCUUGCGCUAAUAGAUGAGCCUAGGUCGGAUUAGCUUGUUGGUGAGGUAAUGGCUCACCAAGGCGACGAUCCGUAACUGGUCUGAGAGGAUGAUCAGUCACACUGGAACUGAGACACGGUCCAGACUCCUACGGGAGGCAGCAGUGGGGAAUAUUGGACAAUGGGCGAAAGCCUGAUCCAGCCAUGCCGCGUGUGUGAAGAAGGUCUUCGGAUUGUAAAGCACUUUAAGUUGGGAGGAAGGGUUGUAGAUUAAUACUCUGCAAUUUUGACGUUACCGACAGAAUAAGCACCGGCUAACUCUGUGCCAGCAGCCGCGGUAAUACAGAGGGUGCAAGCGUUAAUCGGAAUUACUGGGCGUAAAGCGCGCGUAGGUGGUUUGUUAAGUUGGAUGUGAAAGCCCCGGGCUCAACCUGGGAACUGCAUCCAAAACUGGCAAGCUAGAGUACGGUAGAGGGUGGUGGAAUUUCCUGUGUAGCGGUGAAAUGCGUAGAUAUAGGAA
rnacentral:rRNA from 1 species